rnacentral:lncRNA from 1 species
GAGUUGUUUUUUAAAGGGAGGAGAGAGGUUGCCCUUGGUGUCUAAAUGGUGCAAAAUUUGGAUCUGGCUUUCAAACCCCUCUCAGUUUGAUAUUCUGUAAAGCAUCCCAAUUCAGGUAAGUGCGACUAAAAACACUAGUUUAGAAUUAACCAUAUGCUUAAGCGCUUUCCUUA